rnacentral:rRNA from 1 species
UACGUAGGGUGCAAGCGUUGUCCGGAAUUAUUGGGCGUAAAGAGCUCGUAGGCGGUCUGUCGCGUCGGCUGUGAAAACCCGGGGCUCAACCCCGGGCCUGCAGUCGAUACGGGCAGACUAGAGUGCGGUAGGGGAGACUGGAAUUCCUGGUGUAGCGGUGAAAUGCGUAGAUAUCAAGAGGAACACCUGCGGCGAAGGCGGGUUGCUGGGCCGACACUGACGCUGAGGCGCGAAAGCCAGGGGAGCGAACGGG